rnacentral:rRNA from 1 species
UACGGGGGGGGGCAAGCGUUGUUCGGAAUUACUGGGCGUAAAGGGCUCGUAGGCGGCCAACUAAGUCAGACGUGAAAUCCCUCGGCUUAACCGGGGAACUGCGUCUGAUACUGGAUGGCUUGAGUCCGGGAGAGGGAUGCGGAAUUCCAGGUGUAGCGGUGAAAUGCGUAGAUAUCUGGAGGAACACCGGUGGCGAAGGCGGCAUCCUGGACCGGCACUGACGCUGAUGAGCGAAAGCCAGGGGAGCAAACGGG